UACGGAAGGCAGCAGUGGGGAAUAUUGCACAAUGGGCGCAAGCCUGAUGCAGCCAUGCCGCGUGUAUGAAGAAGGCCUUCGGGUUGUAAAGUACUUUCAGCGGGGAGGAAGGCGAUGCGGUUAAUAACCGCGUCGAUUGACGUUACCCGCAGAAGAAGCACCGGCUAACUCCGUGCCAGCAGCCGCGGUAAUACGGAGGGUGCAAGCGUUAAUCGGAAUUACUGGGCGUAAAGCGCACGCAGGCGGUCUGUUAAGUCAGAUGUGAAAUCCCCGGGCUUAACCUGGGAACUGCAUUUUGAACUGGCAGGCUUGAGUCUUGUAGAGGGGGUAGAAUUCCAGGUGUAGCGGUGAAAUGCGUAGAGAUCUGGAGGAAUACCGGUGGCGAAGGCGGCCCCUGGGACAAGACUGACGCUCAGGUGCGAAAGCGUGGGGAGCAAACAGGGAUUAGAUACC
rnacentral:rRNA from 1 species